UACGGAAGGCAGCAGUAGGGAAUAUUGGGCAAUGGCCGAGAGGCUGACCCAGCCAUGCCGCGUGCCGGAUGAAGGCCUUCUGGGUUGUAAACGGCUUUUCUCAGGGAAGAAAAGGGGAUGCGUCCUCAACUGACGGUACCUGAGGAAUAAGCACCGGCUAACUCCGUGCCAGCAGCCGCGGUAAUACGGAGGGUGCAAGCGUUGUCCGGAUUUAUUGGGUUUAAAGGGUGCGUAGGCGGCCCGUUAAGUCCGGGGUGAAAGCCCACGGCUCAACCGUGGAACUGCCCUGGAUACUGGCGGGCUUGAGUCCAGACGAGGUUGGCGGAAUGGAAGGUGUAGCGGUGAAAUGCAUAGAUACCUUCCAGAACCCCGAUUGCGUAGGCAGCUGACUAGGCUGGUACUGACGCUGAGGCACGAAAGCGUGGGGAGCGACAGGGAUUAGAUACC
rnacentral:rRNA from 1 species